rnacentral:tRNA from 1 species
AGCACCAGAGCUCAGUGAUCUGAGAGUGCUGGCCUUACAAACCAGGGACCGUGAGUUCAAGCCUUGCUUGGGCCU